GGACUGUGUCCCUAAGGUUAUUUCAUAAUUGCGGUGCUCUGUAGGAAAAUGAGGAUCGAGCAACUUUAUUUUUGUAUUGCGGUAUGCAAAAUAUCGUGCCAGUACUGGAUGGAUCCCUGGGGAACACCACACAUGACUGGAAGAGGGAAGGAAAAGCUAUCAGAAACGGUCACAUAUUGCAAUCAGUCUGAAACACACGAUCAAAACCAGGUUAGCGGACGAUCACCAAUGCCUGAGUUUUUAAGUUUUUGCAAAAGAAUGCCAUAGUCUGUGUCAAAGGCCUUGGCACAGUCAAGGAAAAUAGCUCCAGUUAAGUCACCUUGUUCCAUGCCAAUUUGGAUGUCAUUGCAAACUUUUAAGAGUGCAGUUGAAGUUGAGUAAUUUGGACAAAAGCCUGAUUGAUCAGGGGUCAGAUAAUUU